rnacentral:lncRNA from 12 species
UGAACACGGGCUUUGAGUCAGCAGAGGAUAUGCUGUGAAUAUCCUGGCCAGAAUCCCUGCUUUUACUCUUGCUUGGGAACUCACUGCAGAGAAAUGGACUGCCUGCCUCCUUCCCUCCAGAAGACCUGAGAGUUCAAAGAAGCUACUUCAGACCCUCUUUCCAUAUGCCCUUUAUGGCUUCUCCUGUUUGGUUGGAACUGGAAAGCAUUUGGAUAUGUUGAUUAUUUCCAGGGAAAGAGUAAGGUGAACU